UACGUAGGGUGCGAGCGUUGUCCGGAAUUACUGGGCGUAAAGAGCUCGUAGGUGGUUUGUCGCGUCGUCUGUGAAAUUCCGGGGCUUAACCUCGGGCGUGCAGGCGAUACGGGCAAUACUUGAGUGCUGUAGGGGAGACUGGAAUUCCUGGUGUAGCGGUGGAAUGCGCAGAGAUCAGGAGGAAUACCGAAGGCGAAGGCAGUCUUCCAAGCCGUUAUUGACGCUCAACUGCGAAGGUGUUGGUAUCAAACAGGAUUAGAUACCCGUGUA
rnacentral:rRNA from 1 species